ACCUGUUCACCAUGUAGAAACCAUCAAAGUGAGCCCAAUUCGAUCUCGAACAAAUUCAAUUCAACGAAAUCGAUCAAUCUUUGAGCAUAUGUUUCUCUCAGGCAUUUGAACAAACACUUGCAAGGGUGUUUGUUGGACCUAAAAUUCGAUCAAAAAGCUGAAAUCUUUCCACCUAAUUUGGAUCAAAAUUAUUCAAAAACUCAAUAAUCAAGCUCAAUUUGAUGAACCCAGAACGGAUCAACCAAAAUCUUUAAAGAAUUAUGAGAAUUUCGGGUAGAAACAAAAAGGAAAAAACAGGGGAAACGACGAUCACGAGCCGUGCAUGAAGAGAAAAAUAAAGAAAAAGAUGAGACAAAGACAAAAAGAUCGAAAAUGCUUAAUAUUUUAAAGCAAUUCAACCACCCAUCACCAUCUUGACAACCUGUUUUGAUCUACAAGAUUGUUCCAAACUUUUGUAUGAAUAUAACUUGUUUAAUAUGACAAUUUGAGUGUUAAAUAGUGAUUAUAAUAAUGAAAGUUUAUGAAUUUAAAAGUGAUGUAUUUGAUAAGCGUUAAAUGCCAUUUUAGUCCUUUGUGGUUUGGGCAUUUGCCAGUUUAGUUCAAAGAUUUUAAACGUUGUUAUUUUAGUUCAAAUAGUUUCAAAUGUUGUCAUUUUAGUUCACUAGGUUAGCUCCGUCCGUUUUUUCUGUUAACUAGAAGGGCGUUCCGGUCAUUUUAUAUGUAAUUAUGUUAACUAGAAGGGCAAUUCAAGCAUAUAAAAUGGCCGAAUUGCCCUUCUAGCUAACAGAAAAAAUAAAUGGAGUUAACCUAGUGGACUAAAAUAACAAUGUUUGAAUUUUUUAGACUAAAAUGACAAUAUUUCAAACCUUUGGACUAAACUAACAAAUUAAUCCAAACCACAAGGACUAAAAUGGUGUUUAACUCAUUUGAUAAUAUAAAAGUAGAAGUUGGUAUAGAAUUGGCCCGUCAAAGUUGACAAAGAUUACGCGUGCAAUUUUAGUGGCUUAAACGCCGUGGAAACCGCCGCAAAUUAGAGUCAAGAGAAUGGAUAUUGUACUCAUGGAAAGUGAUAACAAGAAUAUGUUUUGGAAUAUGAUGUGUAAAAUAUUAGGGGUGUUAAACGGGUCGUAUUUAACUUGA
rnacentral:lncRNA from 1 species